rnacentral:misc_RNA from 1 species
AAAUCACAAUCGAAAUAACGAAAAAUCAAAUUAAAAUCAUUUUGAAAUUUUAAUUUGAUUUUAAUUUUUAGGCAAAUUUCAAAUCGAAUCAAAAUUACACACUCUUAGUUGACAGCUAGGUCCAGCGUGCAGAUCAUCCAAGAACUGAGCCGGGCCUAAGACAUGAAAUCCACUGCAGAUCAUCCAAUGUGUUCAGAUAUCAAUGUAAUUGAAUCAACACACUUUCCGACAAUUUCUUUUCAUUGUUAUGGUAUAUGUUCUUUUUCUAAUUAUAAGAGAGGCUGAGGGGAAAACACGUAGCAAGUAAAAAGGAAAAGGAAAGGAAGUUACUGUGGAAUGGAUAAAAAGGGCACAUCAUGCACAUACAGCAACUGCAGCAAGAUUAUCACGCCUUGUCUGAAUAAACAUCUGUCGGAAUUGCUCAAAUCUGCCAUCCUUGAUUGCUUCUCUUAUUGACUGGAAGAACCCGAGGUAAUGGUGAGUAUUAUGUAUUUCUAAUAGAAUCUGAGCCAACAUCUCGUGGACAUUGAGUAGGUGAUUGAUGUAAGCUUUAGUAUGAUUCUGGCAAGUAUAGCAGGUACAGCUUGCAACAAUUGGUGAUGUGUCUUUCCUGUAAACUGUUGCUUUCAGAUUAAUCUUUGUUUGGUCAAUUCCCAUAUCAGUGGACUUAAAACCAGAUGCAUUUGUUUCAAUCCUAUCCAGAGGAAAGGUAAGUGCAAAGCCUCCAAGUGUAAGAUUAUAAAUAUACGAUGAGUCAAAAAGAUCAAUGCCAGCCGCAACUCCCUGCAACACCUCCUCUAUCAAAUGCAAAAAAGAAUACAUUGUUAUCAGAAACCAUAUAAGAAAACAAUAAAUUUAAUAAAGAAAAUAAAAAAAAGAAAGGAAGAAUAAAACACUCAGAAAAUCAACAAUUUGAGAAAUGAUAUGUGAGAGCAGAGUGAAGUAGUAGACUUGAACUUAAACCAUUAGAAAAAGCGAUGAACACUGCCAGCAUUUAAAAUUUUGGUUGAAGUCCUGGCCAUGAUGUUGCAGAAGCAGGCUAUUGUAGAUACUGCUACAUAAUGGUUUUGGACAUCAUGGACAUGAAUCCUUUAGGGACGCAAAUUAUCUGGUAGUCCAAGCCCACAGACAAGGCGUGGCUUUUCCUCUGGUAAACUAUCCUGAGCAUUUUGUAAUAGUGUUAGAACUCGACCAUUAACGAAAGACAAAAUUGUUCAUGUUAAUACAGCAAACAAUCUCCUACAUAAUUUCCUUGCAGUCACUUGACUACUGAACCUUAUUUAUUGUGGUUUUAGUCAUGUUCUCAUCUCAUCCCAUGAAAUUUCACAAGAGACAUUUCUCCAACAUAAACAAAUCAAUAUAAUUCCCAAAUUAACAUAAAAUAAUGCAUAGUAUUGCAUACUAUAAUGGAAAACCAUAAAAUAAAAUAUAUCUGACCCUACUGUACGAAACUUUUCAUACAUAUUUAGAUAUUUGACAUGAGAGCAUCUUAUUUUUUACAGUCUGGUUAGGAGGUUCAGUGUGAGUCUUUUCCUUAUCCAAUACUAACCUUUAAUGAGAUGAUCUAUUGGAAUAAUCUAUACAUUGACCAGUCCCAUUGAGAAUUAUUAACAAUGUCCUAUUGAGACUUAUUAUGAAUUAAGAAGGAAAAGGAAUACAUAACCUUAUGACAUUUGUGUUAUAGACAUUUUACAAGCCAUGGAGCUUGUUUUACUUCAUAAUGAGCAUAGUUUGAUCAUCAUAGCUCAGGUAGAUGUAUGCUCUAUUCCUGAUUUGGGGUUGUAAAUUCACACAUAGUACUCCAAUUGUCUUAGAUCCUUAAAUGUUGGGAAUGCUCAAAGCAUGACCUCAAACUACCAUUUCACAACAUCCGUCGUUGCUUGAAAAAAUAAAAAUAAAAAGGUUUAAGUAAGUUAAAUAACUAUCAUUCAUACAUACCCUCAGUCCAAACAUGACACUAAAGAUUCAUCGAUGAUAAUCAUUUCACAGAACCCCAACUAGAAGUUGGCAUCAGCAUGAGAUCUGCUUGGGAUGCAUAGCAUCUAUCAAGUCAUUACAAUACCACAUGUCCAAACAUAAUUACACAAGUGAGUGUUCUAAAACACA